rnacentral:lncRNA from 1 species
UGCACUCCAGCCUGGGCAACACAGCAAGACACCGUCUCAAGAAAAAAAAAAAAAGAUUAUAUUCUUUGUUGAAUAUAACAAAGUGAAUAUAAACAAAAUGAAAAUUUGGGGGAAAAGUAAAAUAUCAUUUGGCAUUAAAGAUAACCCCUUAAGAAAAUCACUAUCAGUACCAAACAUGGAGCCAUCCAGCCAAACCCAUAGAAUUCUAGAACAUCAGAGCUGGAUAAGCCCUUAGAACAAUCUGUCCAAAUCUGUUAUUUUGCAGAGGGGGAAGUGGAGACCCAGCCAUGCAAAGGUAUUAGCAACAGUUAGUUUACAUUUCUUUCUGGCUGCAUUUACAGUGGGUAAAUACAUCUUAACUUUAGUGGGUUGAAAAAGACAGGUGCUAUUUCCUCAAACAAUAUUUUGGCUGCUGGUGAUCGACUCUUAGAGCAAGAGAAACACUUUCUAACAUCGAUGUGGGAUUUUGUGUGUGAUGUGUGGGUUUCCUGAGCUGCUGAGCUUUUCCACAAUCUCCUGCUCUAUUACUUCGUAGCCCACUUUCCUUUAAUACCCACCGUCAGAGAGGUUCUCUUUACCAUUCCUCUGCUCAGCUCCUUCAGAAGUCUGUGUACACCGACAAUAAAUGGCCCAAGUCAAGAGCUCCCAAAUCCUGCCCUGCUAGUCAUUUGGCCUCCUGAUGGCAAACAGAGGUCCUGAGAUUCGGAGAGUGAAGCGGAGUGGCUGCCGGCACCACCUUCUCACCUGCAAGAGCACCCAGAGCCUUGUCCGGAGUUGGGCUUAUUGGAGGAGCUGGUGAAGGAGAAGAGGCUGAGUUGGCUUAAGCACCCCUUCUGCCUGCCUCUAACCCCACACCUUCAGAUCCCUUUAGCUGCUUGCACAGCUCAUGACCUAUGAACGGGGGUGGGGAAGAAGUAGGCAGAAUGGAGUCUGACAUGAGAAAAGUGUCAAUAACAUCCCAUUUCUUGUGUUGAUUCUUGAUUUCUGUUCAUAUUCAAACAUUAUUUUGUUGUAUAUUUUCUUUCGUAGGCCUCCUUAAAAUUCUCGUAGAAUGAGGCAAGAUAUAAACACUUACAUAGAAGUUAACAGCAGUGUGUUAAUGAUAUAUGCAGCCAAGCAUAGGCGCUUAUGCCCAGAGUGCGCAAGUAUACAGAGGACAUUCAGUGGCCAAAGUUGGCUAGAGUUGCUUUGGUCCUUGAUCAAGUCCUGUUUAGAUUUCUCCACCCAAAUAAGUUACAUCAAUACUGACUAGAUAAUACAUAUUCAACAGGCAGUACACCCCCUGAUCAUUGUGGAUAUCACAAUUCAGGAAAUCAUUUACUUACUAAACAUUUUUACUUACUAAACAUUUACUUACUAAACUUUUGUGUCCCCUACUAAACUUUUAGCUUCUAGAGAGUAGAAACCAUGUCCUGUUGUUCUUUAUGCUUAUAGUACUUGGCCCACAACUGAUGCACAAUGGAUCACGAGGGGUGACUAGAUAAAUGAGAAUUUUUUAAUGGCAAGAUGAUUCAGAGCAAAUGAAAUGUAGAAUAUCAUAAUAUUUUAUAAGGAAUGGCAUUUUGGGCAAGUUAUUACUUGUACGUACUUUUAGAAACAGUCUCUUCCUCUAACCAAAUGCUUCUGAGUAGGAUCCUGCUUUAAUGGAUAGAAAAACAUGAGUUCUCAUUAGUAUGCACAGCACUGAAGCCCAGUUACAUUUUUUUUUUAAAUAAGCACACUUUUUAAGUGCUGCCAUGCAGUGUCAUCGCUCCAAAAGCUUAUCACAUUGUUCAUUUUCUUAGCAGGCUCAGUUCUACUGAUGGUGUAAAGUUUCAACCGGGGCUCUUCAUAAUUAUUACGAAUUCUUAAGACUGAAAUCAGGUGGCUUUUUAUUUUUAGUGUCCUUAUUGUGCUCACUCAAGACUAUAUAUUCAGCAGUGUGCAGUCUAUGCCUGACUGUAUAAAAGACUGGAAUGUUCACACACUAUAAUGAAUAAUGAGUGUCAGUGAACUCAUUACAGUAAAUCCUUAGGUAAUUACUUUCUGCCUUAGUUGGGGGACUUAUGGUAGCAUAAGCUAAAAUUAUUUCAUCUCCAGACAAACCCUGAGGUGGCUGUUGGAGUUAAAUAUAAUUCAUUUGCAGCAUGUUUAUUAUAGUUAAAUUUAACUAAUUUAGGGCCUGUUGCUGGCCAGAAGCUGAGGAGGAGGAAGUUGCAGUGUCCAUGAGUACCUCAGAAAAAUGAGGCUUCAUGGCCGAGCUUUCAGAGCAUGACGUAAGAGUUACUCCCACUCUGUCUCUGCUCUUCCUGUCCCCAGAGCUGGAUGGGUUUGUUCAUGAAAGUGAUUGGCUAAUGAGCUCUUCAGGCAUAGGAUUAAUGUGGUGUAGCAAGAGGAAGUCUCAGCGUUGAGCUGGGGCUCUGCUCAGUUCUCUCCUCUGUUUCUGCCGGAACUUCCUGGUGUUACAGAAAGAACUAUGGUGUUCAAGGUCACUGUUGUAUGAAUGGAUUUAUCAGCAGAUGGUGAGGCUCCCCCUUCUCGUGCCCCAUUUCCACUCAACACUGUCGGGCCAGUCUGGGCGUUAUUUCUUCCUAAGCCUUCCAGCCUGGAAGACUUAGCUCUGGAAAAAAUAGGAAAGGACUUACUCCAAGAACCAAGCACAUGUUUACAGAGGAUGGUUUAACCUUUAAAGAUGUUGCCACUGAAGAGUUUUUAGAUUAGAUUUUGCCUCAUGAGAGCUCUUCUGAGCUGGAUGGCUUGCUCUACCAAAGAUGUUACAGGGACACCCGCAGGAGAAAUCGCAUCAACGCGGGGAGGUGAGGCUUCUGAGCCAUCGCUUGUGUCUAAGAACAUAAGCCAAAAAUCACUGUAGGGGGACUGUUCCCCAGAAGACAGGGACCUUGCCAGGAGAGGAAACACAAUUCCGAUCAUCGUGAGGAACGUGCAUUUGCGGAAGACAUUGUCCUACUUUUCCACAAAAAUACCAUGUCUCCAUUCUGGAAAUAUGUGCACUGUGCUAAUUGCUCAAGAGAAGGUAGCAGUUGGAAAAAGUCCAGAGAAGGAUGAGUAGAUGAACACAGGAAUCAGUCGGUAGCCGUGGGAACAGCAAAGCCCCUUCAGUGGGAAGGCAAGAGUAAAGAGAAGACAGCACUGAAGUCUGUGGAAUCUAAAGCGGCUUUGGUGGGGUUUCCUCACCGACCCAAAGUGCAGAGCUAGCAGGGUAGGCACACCCACCCGUGCCUGUGGUGGCCCGCCCUAAGACUCUAUCCAGGACAGCCACCUCAGCCUCACUAUCCCCUGGCCACGUCCUGGCCGUUCAGUCCCACCGUGACGCAGCUUACAAGCUGCAGAACCGUCUGCCUCUCAAGCCAGUGUUCCUCCCACUGUACCACAGUUGCUUCCGUUGGGUCCAGACUCUUCUGAAAACUCCCCUUUUCAAUUUUACUCAAACAGAUUUUGGCCAUGGAAAUGGUUUGUGACUUUAACGGGCAAGCUGUGAUAUAAAAAGUAAACCAUGGGUUACAUAACUUCAGGGGCAGGUUAACUUUUCCAGAAUUCUGGUCUCAAAGUAAAGAUUUAGAUUUAGUUGAGGCUAUAAAAAUUCAGGAAAAAAUAAUAAAGCAUUUCUACACCUCCCUCCUUCCCCUUGCGAGCCCCCCUUAAAAAUAGCAUCUGAAGUUUCAUUGUAGCUGAGUCACUGCUUGGUGCGAUCUAGGGCUAGGCUGCAACUGGACCUGUCAGAAUGAGGCCACAGUGAUUCAUGAUGAAGCUAAGUUUGGUUGCCACUGACAACAUGUGUUCCUCUCUGUUCUUUCCCUGGAGUUUGGAGACACUGUAUUUUGCCUUUGGAUUAGAAACGCCUUUGAGUGGUGAGAGUAAUGGGAUGAGAUGGGCCACUGCAAUUAAAGAGCCCUCUGGGCCCUCUUUCUGUGACACCCUAGCCAUUUGUUAGGGGAAGGUAGGAGUAAUUAACAUAACCAAAGACCUUUGGGGCUGUGAAGGGAAUUUAUCUCCUCUGCCUUUGCAGUUUAGCAUCAAGUCAGUCUACCAACCAAGAGCCCCCCAACACCUUUUCUGGGCCCCAAACUGUGCUUCCCAUUGAGGAAAGGCAAAUGAUAGAAUAUGCGGUCCCUACCCUGAAGGAAUUUGGGGAAGCACAAACCAAUUAGAGAAGCACUGUCUACUUCCCACGUUGAUUAUAAUCAUGUAUGUGUCAGUUUCCACGUUUGCGCCUGGAGGGCAGAAGCCACAGCUGGUUUUGCUGUGCAUGGCACCUGUGUUCCUGGAGCUGAAGUGAAUGGGUCCUGCCUCCAGCACCUGCUUCCCCACUUCUGCCAUCAGAAAGACUCGUUCGGGAAAACAUUCCUUCAUUCCCUUCCUAGGGCACCACAGUUAAUAAGGCCACAAAUUUGGGCCUGUCCAUCCUGGUGCAAGUAUCUGAGGAAGCAAGAAGAGAUCCGGGUUAGCAAGGAUACGAUUACAAUGCUUUUAUUUUUUUAAUGGGACUUGGGCGGUGAGGAAAUUCUAUGUUCCCCGUCAUUUAUGCAGACUCCAGCUAAACGUAUGCUAGUUGAACUCAUGCCAGCUCUGUGGAAGUGAGGGACAGAUACAAGAAACAUGGGAACUUUCCAAGAAAUGAAGCUUCUUUGCUGCCAUGUCGAUGAUGCUUGUUUCUGAGAAACUCAAAUGUAUGGAAGUGUAGAGUAGAGCUUCCCAAACAGGGUGCCGUAGUUCACAGAUUUGCACACAGGGGUGCCAGCAUAAUGAUCUCUGCAGCUCUUGGCACACCUUGGUAUGUCUGGAGUAUGAGAUGGACUUAACAUAUGAAUAUACAUAUAAAUAUAUAUAAUGUAUCUGUACAUCUUAGGGACUAGACAAACAAGGUGUUAAAUGUGUUCCUCUCUGGAUGGUAGGUUUAUGGAAUCCUUUAAUCAUUUUACUUAUUUGCUUAUUUAAACUUCUGAAUCUGUAACAAUUUAUUGUGUGUGUGGAAGAAUUCUUUCAGCCCAACCAAAUACUAGCCAAAAUAUUGAAGUGGAAGGUAUCAGUGUUCGGUGAUCCAGCCAAAGGUUUAUGUAUAUGUUUUAUUCAAACACUGUCUUAGAAACCAUUUGCCCUGAGGAUGUGUCCUCUAUUUUGUCAGUUUAAAAAGGAUUCUUUUCAGUUAGUGCAUUCUCAUUAAAAAAAAAAAAAAAAAAAAAGGAAAGAAAAAGAAA